ACGACUCUCGGCAACGGAUAUCUCGGCUCUCGCAUCGAUGAAGAACGUAGCGAAAUGCGAUACCUGGUGUGAAUUGCAGAAUCCCGUGAACCAUCGAGUCUUUGAACGCAAGUUGCGCCCGAGGCCAUCCGGCCGAGGGCACGCCUGCCUGGGCGUCAC
rnacentral:rRNA from 2 species